rnacentral:rRNA from 1 species
GAUGAACGCUGGCGGCGUGCCUAAUACAUGCAAGUCGAGCGAACAGACGAGGAGCUUGCUCCUCUGACGUUAGCGGCGGACGGGCGAGUAACACGCGGAUAACCUACCUAUAAGACUGGGAUAACUUCGGGAAACCGGAGCUAAUACCGGAUAAUAUAUUGAACCGCAUGGUUCAAUAGUGAAAGACGGUUUUGCUGUCACUUAUAGAUGGAUCCGCGCCGCAUUAGCUAGUUGGUAAGGUAACGGCUUACCAAGGCGACGAUGCGUAGCCGACCUGAGAGGGUGAUCGGCCACACUGGAACUGAGACACGGUCCAGACUCCUACGGGAGGCAGCAGUAGGGAAUCUUCCGCAAUGGGCGAAAGCCUGACGGAGCAACGCCGCGUGAGUGAUGAAGGUCUUCGGAUCGUAAAACUCUGUUAUUAGGGAAGAACAAAUGUGUAAGUAACUAUGCACGUCUUGACGGUACCUAAUCAGAAAGCCACGGCUAACUACGUG